rnacentral:rRNA from 1 species
UACAGAGGUCUCGAGCGUUAGGCGGAAUCACUGGGCUUAAAGCGUGUGUAGGUGGAUCGGUAAGUACCUUGUGAAAUCCCACAGCUUAACUGUGGAACUGCUUGGUAUACUGCCAGUCUUGAGCCAGCUAGGGGCUACCGGAACAAAUGGUGGAGCGGUGGAAUGCGUAGAUAUCAUUUGGAACGCCAAUGGUGAAAACAGGUAGCUGGGGCUGUGCUGACACUGAGACACGAAAGCCAGGGGAGCAAACGGG